rnacentral:rRNA from 1 species
CAGUGGCGGACGGGUGAGUAACACGUGGGAACAUGCCUUUCGGUACGGAAUAACGCUUGGAAACGAGUGCUAAUACCGUAUACGCCCUCCGGGGGAAAGAUUUAUCGCCGAAAGAUUGGCCCGCGCUAGAUUAGCUAGUUGGUAAGGUAAUGGCUUACCAAGGCUACGAUCUAUAGCUGGUUUGAGAGGAUGAUCAGCCACACUGGGACUGAGACACGGCCCAGACUCC